UGAGUUGAGUUGAGUUGAGUAUAUUGUCACAUAAGUUGGUUCAGGUCAGCUAAUAGAGAGCUCUAGCUUAAACGUGUAUAGAUGGGUGAAUUUCUUGUUUCUUCAAAUGAGAUAUUGGUAGCCAUAACUGCAUGACAACUUUUAUUUUUCUUUUGCACUUUUGUUGUGUAAUUUGUUUAUUCUGAGUUAUUUAUUAUCUUUCAGUGUAUGUCUUCAUGUGUGCACAUGUUAGAAAGAAAGAGGAUUAUUUAGAUCAUGCUAAAUGUUGUCCAUACAUAUCUAUAUGUUGGUUUUGCUUUUAUGGCAUGGAAAGAAGAAACAAGAUAAAGAAAUAAAAG
rnacentral:misc_RNA from 1 species